rnacentral:rRNA from 1 species
UACGAAGGGGGCUAGCGUUGCUCGGAAUUACUGGGCGUAAAGCGCACGUAGGCGGCUUUCUAAGUCGGGGGUGAAAUCCUGGAGCUCAACUCCAGAACUGCCUCGAUACUGGAGAGCUUGAGUCCGGGAGAGGUGAGUGGAACUGCGAGCGUAGAGGUGAAAUUCGUAGAUAUUCGCAAGAACACCAGUGGCGAAGGCGGCUCACUGGCCCGGUACUGACGCUGAGGUGCGAAAGCGUGGGGAGCA